UACAGAGGGUGCGAGCGUUAAUCGGAAUUACUGGGCGUAAAGCGCACGUAGGUGGCGACGUAAGUCGGGUGUGAAAGCCCCGGGCUCAACCUGGGAAUUGCAUUCGAGACUGCAUUGCUGGAGUACGGAAGAGGAGGGCGGAAUUCCCGGUGUAGCGGUGAAAUGCGUAGAUAUCGGGAGGAACAUCAGUGGCGAAGGCGGCCCUCUGGUCCAGUACUGACGCUCAAGUGCGAAAGCGUGGGGAGCAAACAGG
rnacentral:rRNA from 1 species